AGACGGAGGGGGCUAGCGUUGUUCGGAAUUACUGGGCGUAAAGAGCACGUAGGCGGCCGGCACAGUCAGGCGUGAAAGCCCUGGGCUUAACCCAGGAAUUGCGUUUGAAACUGGCGGGCUUGAGUCCGGGAGAGGAUAGUGGAAUUCCCAGUGUAGAGGUGAAAUGCGUAGAUAUUGGGAGGAACACCGGUGGCGAAGGCGGCUUCCUGGACCGGUUCUGACGCUGAGGAGCGAAAGCUAGGGGAGCAAACAGGAUUAGAAACCCCAGUAGUCC
rnacentral:rRNA from 1 species